rnacentral:tRNA from 1 species
GGGGCUGUAGUAUAGCUUGGUAGAAUUCGCCCAUGGGGUGGGUGAGGCCGCGGUUCAAAGACACAACCGAAUUGCGAUUCGGCUGUGCCACGCCUCUUCGAGGCUUUGGAAAUCCGCGCAGCCCCA